UGGGUGAUCUGCCCUGCACUUCGGGAUAAGCCUGGGAAACUGGGUCUAAUACCGGAUAGGAGCCAUUUUUAGUGUGAUGGUUGGAAAGUUUUUCGGUGUAGGAUGAGCUCGCGGCCUAUCAGCUUGUUGGUGGGGUAAUGGCCUACCAAGGCGGCGACGGGUAGCCGGCCUGAGAGGGUGGACGGCCACAUUGGGACUGAGAUACGGCCCAG
rnacentral:rRNA from 1 species